rnacentral:rRNA from 1 species
UACGGGGGGGGCAAGCGUUGUUCGGAAUUACUGGGCGUAAAGGGCUCGUAGGUGGCCAACUAAGUCGGACGUGAAAUCCCUCAGCUUAACUGGGGAACUGCGUCCGAUACUGGAUGGCUUGAGUUUGGGAGAGGGAUGCGGAAUUCCAGGUGUAGCGGUGAAAUGCGUAGAUAUCUGGAGGAACACCGGUGGCGAAGGCGGCUUUCUGGGCCUUACCUGACGCUGAGACGCGAAAGCGUGGGGAGCGAACCGG